rnacentral:rRNA from 1 species
UAGGGAAUCUUCGGCAAUGGACGAAAGUCUGACCGAGCAACGCCGCGUGAGUGAAGAAGGUUUUCGGAUCGUAAAACUCUGUUGUUAGAGAAGAACAAGGACGUUAGUAACUGAACGUCCCCUGACGGUAUCUAACCAGAAAGCCACGGCUAACUACGGGCCAGCAGCCGCGGUAAUACGUAGGUGGCAAGCGUUGUCCGGAGUUAUUGGGCGUAAAGCGAGCGCAGGCGGUUUCUUAAGUCUGAUGUGAAAGCCCCCGGCUCAACCGGGGAGGGUCAUUGGAAACUGGGAGACUUGAGUGCAGAAGAGGAGAGUGGAAUUCCAUGUGUAGCGGUGAAAUGCGUAGAUAUAUGGAGGAACACCAGUGGCGAAGGCGGCUCUCUGGUCUGUAACUGACGCUGAGGCUCGAAAGCGUGGGGAGCAAACAGG